CUCAGCCUCCCUUUCCAAGCUUCUGCGCGGCCUGUGUGCAGCUGCACUUAGCUGGCAGGGUCACGCGUUGAGUAGCCGCUCCGCUCCUUCUGCAGCCUCCUGCAGCCCGCGCCAGCUCCCGGGCUCUAUCCCUCACCAUCAGUUGCUGACUGGCACCCUCUGCGUGCACAGCGGAGGUUGACUACACUCUGGUGGUUCACAGCAAUUCCAGGCCGGCUCCAGCCUGGCCAAAGCAGCUAACUUCUCUGCUGUCUGGUGGGCUGAACCUCACCGUUUCCCAAGAGGAGCUGCCUGGCAAUGGUAGCAGGUGAAGGUCAUGGUGAAGAAGAUGCAGAUAUUGGCAAUUUGGAGCAUUAGAUGAGGAACACCAGGGAUAAUACAUGCCAAGGAACACCAAGGAUUACCAGCAAACACCAGAAGCCAGGAGAGAGGCAUGGAUUGUCCCUCAGAGCCUGCAGAAGGAAACAAGCUUGCUGAUAUCUUGAUUUUGUACUUCUGGCUUUCAGAACUGUGAGAGAAUACAUUUUUGUAAUUUUAAGUCACCAAGUUUGUGGAACUUUGUUACAACAGCCCUAGGACACUAGUACAGAUGGGAAGGGAGAAGCAUUCAUGGAAAUAAUUGCUUUGGAUGAUAAUAAGUAUGACUCAGAGAGAAGAAUAGAGGUGCAGGAUAUGUCUGGGGACUUACAGCAAAGAACACAUUUAGAGGAAGAUAGAAAUUUUGGUCUUAGAAUCUUCACACAAUUGGCUAGGGCAUAAUAUAUAAAAUAAAGUAAUGACAAAAGGUGGUAGGUGUGAUAUUUCAAAGUCACCAAAAAGUGGGCUGGAAAUUACUAUUUGGUAUAAAGGGAAACGAGAAGAAUAUACCUAUUACGUGGGAAGGAAAUUGUGUUGACAACAACAACAACAAAAGACAGAUUUAUGGAAAUCAGAGGGCCUGAGAGGGGAAUCAGGCCAGCAAAGCUUAGG